rfam:Myotis davidii contig18407, whole genome shotgun sequence.
GGCGGUUCUCAGGUGAUGCACCCUGGAAUGGGGCUCUCUCCUCUCUGGUUCCGGAGUGUGUCACCCAAGGACUACC